CCGGAAGCCCCGGCAGGGUCACACCGGUCAAAGCGGCCCCGCCCCAUCUUCCC
rnacentral:ncRNA from 1 species